CAGAGAGAAGCCAGGUGGCGACACCGAGCGGAACUCGAAAGCCUGUCUCAGUUCGGAUCGGAGUCUGCAACCCGACUCCGUGAAGCUGGAUUCGCUAGUAAUCGCGCAUCAGCCAUGGCGCGGUGAAUACGUUCCCGGGCCUUGUACACACCGCCCGUCAAGCCAUGGAAGCCGGGAGUGCCUGAAGUAUGCAACCGCAAGGAGCGUCCUAAGGUAAAACCGGUGACUGGGGCUAAGUCGUAACAAGGUAAC
rnacentral:rRNA from 1 species